CGGUGGUGUAGUGGUUAACAUGCCAGUCUGUCACACUGGAGAUCGCGGGUUCAAGUCCCGUCCGG
rnacentral:tRNA from 1 species